UUGGCUCAUUCUAUAUGGUCAGUCGUCCAAAUAGCGUCUGAUUUGUAUCCUCCUUGUAGUGUUGUUAAUAUAUUUGGCAACUGGCUACAUGGGAUUGAUCACAAGUUUAGAAUUCUUAUGAGGGUGGGAGCGCUUGCUGUGAUUUGGUCGCUUUGGCUAUGUAGAAAUGAUAAGGUUUUUAGUGAUAAAAGUACUUCUCUUAUGCAGGUUAUCUACAUAUGUACCGGGACUCUUCGUUUAUGGUCCUCUCUACAACGAGUGGAGAAUCGAGACCUGUUUAUGGAGGUAUGUACACGAUUGGAGCCUAUGGCGAGGGAUAUUUUUAUCCAACUUGGGUGGCAGCAUGAUCUUAGGAUUGGGCCACCUUCAGUUUAG
rnacentral:rRNA from 1 species